CAGGUGCAACUUAAAUGACUAUUUGAAGUUUGGCCAUAGAUGUGUAUCUAUCACACUCUUGCAAUCUCAUUAACAUGGCAGGGCAAGUGUAGCAGGGAGAGAUGCUGCCCGCUUCAAAGAAUUCCACCUCCUUGAUCACCACGAUGACACUGCGAACGCAAGAGUGAGGAGUGGAGCACAGAUAAGAGAAGAGGUUGUCUACAUGGGAAACAGAAGACAUCUAAAUAAAACCAAGAGGACGAGGAUACCAGCUCAUUGUUUCUCGAGGACAUCCAGAAUGCUGCUGACAAAAGUAAAACCCACCCAGUCACUGACCGUCUAACAAACCAAAAGCAGCAAAUGAAGAGCCAGAUGGUGGAUCCAGCUGAGUGGGUAGACAGGCUAGUGUAGAAGGAAUAGUUCUGAGAACCAGAGAGGGCCAGGUGAUCAGAAAGCCAUUGAGGUUCAAAGACAGUAGGUGCUCACAGAUGUCCAAUGAGAGGCAGAA